rnacentral:tRNA from 1 species
ACUCAAGUGGUUUAAUUGGUAAAAUACCGAUUUGUGGUGUCGGUGAUGCAUGUUUGUGUCUUGAGUC